CCGGGCUGUUUAGCAGCUGGUCUCACUGCUUAGGUUCCUAAAGCCUAGCUGUUACAGCGUCCUUGCUACAGAAAGAGAUCGUUGUCUGACCAGAGACAAAACUUACUUCUGUCUGGUAGCAGAGUACCUACAUUUGGCUUUCCAGAUCUCACCUCAGUUCCAGAUUCCUCUACAUUAAAAUCUUCGCCUGGGUUACAUCUUCUCUCAGGAUUGAAUAUCAACACUAUUGAAGACACCUCAUGUGACAUCACAAACAGCUUUCUUGGACUCUCCAGGGAGGUGGAGCAAGAUGGCUGAAUAGAAGCCUCCAGCAAUUGUCCCCCACUCACAGGAACACCAAAUUGAACAACUAUCCACACACAAAAAAAAGCACCUUCAUACAAAGAAAAAUCAGGCCUGGAACAGAUCAGCCUCCCUGCAGGAAUCAACUGAGAAAGAAUUAAUGACACUUUCGAAAGCUUUAAAUUCCAAUGAGAAAUUGAAGCCCUGGGAAUAUCUGCCUCAACAUUUUAUAGGGUGUAUGCCUGCAGUCAGUGAGAAGCACGAGGAUAUUCCGUUCCUUAAUUAUCCCUGCGCCAAAAGUGUGAAGCAAAUAAUUUUCUUCUUGAGAUAAUGUCACUAAGGAGGAGGCCUCAGCUUUCUUGAGAACUGUAAUUUUUCGAAUAGUUCUUUC
rnacentral:lncRNA from 1 species